rnacentral:rRNA from 1 species
AGAGUUUGAUCCUGGCUCAGGAUGAACGCUGGCGGCGUGCCUAACACAUGCAAGUCGAACGGAGUUAUGUAGAAGUUUUCGGACGGAAAUAUAACUUAGUGGCGGACGGGUGAGUAACGCGUGGAUAACCUGCCUCUCACUGGGGGAUAGCAGCUGGAAACGGCUGGUAAUACCGCAUACGUUCCAUUUUCUGCAUGGAAGAUGGAAGAAAGAUUUAUCGGUGAGAGAUGGAUCCGCGUCUGAUUAGCCAGUUGGCGGGGUAACGGCCCACCAAAGCGACGAUCAGUAGCCGGCCUGAGAGGGUGAUCGGCCACAUUGGGACUGAGACACGGCCCAAACUCCUACGGGAGGCAGCAGUGGGGGAUAUUGCACAAUGGGCGCAAGCCUGAUGCAGCGACGCCGCGUGAGUGAAGAAGUAUUUCGGUAUGUAAAGCUCUAUCGGCAGGGAAGAAAGGCCCGCAAGGGAGAUGACGGUACCUGACUAAGAAGCCCCGGCUAACUACGUGCCAGCAGCCGCGGUAGUACGUAGGGGGCAAGCGUUAUCCGGAUUUACUGGGUGUAAAGGGAGCGCAGACGGCAGUGCAAGUCUGAUGUGAAAGCCCGGGGCUCAACCGCGGGACUGCAUUGGAAACUGUACAGCUUGAGUGUCGGAGAGGUAAGCGGAAUUCCUGGUGUAGCGGUGAAAUGCGUAGAUAUCAGGAGGAACACCGGUGGCGAAGGCGGCUUACUGGACGAUAACUGACGUUGAGGCUCGAAAGCGUGGGGAGCAAACAGGAUUAGAUACCCUGGUAGUCCAUGCUGUAAACGAUGAAUACUAGGUGUAGGGGGUAUCAAUUCCCUCUGUGCCCGCAGCAAACGCAAUAAGUAUUCCGCCUGGGGAGUACGGCCGCAAGGUUGAAACUCAAAAGGAAUUGACGGGGGCCCGCACAAGCAGCGGAGCAUGUUGUUUAAUUCGAAGCAACGCGAAGAACCUUACCAGGUCUUGACAUCGAGGCAAACUUGUAGAGAUACAAUGUGGAUUCGUCCAGCCAAAGACAGGUGGUGCAUGGUUGUCGUCAGCUCGUGUCGUGAGAUGUUGGGUUAAGUCCCGCAACGAGCGCAACCCCUAUUACCAGUUACCAGCGAGUAGAGUCGGGGACUCUGGUGAGACUGCCGGGGAUAACUCGGAGGAAGGUGGGGACGACGUCAAAUCAUCAUGCCCCUUACGUCUUGGGCUACACACGUGCUACAAUGGCUGUAACAAAGGGAAGCGACAGCGUAAGCUGAAGCGGAUCUCAGAAAAGCAGUCCCAGUUCGGAUUGUGGGCUGCAACCCGCCCACAUGAAGUCGGAGUUGCUAGUAAUCGCGGAUCAGAAUGCCGCGGUGAAUACGUUCCCGGGCCUUGCACACACCGCCCGUCA